rnacentral:tRNA from 1 species
UUAGUAAAGAAGUAAAUUUUACAUUUAGUUUCGACCUAAAAUUAAGAAUUAAAAAUUCUCAUACUAAA